GAAGCUAAUUCUCAUACUUUUAACUUUGUCAUUAUGUCUCCUCUUUUGUGAUAGAUAAGUGUAAAAUCCAACCUGAAACUCCACUGCUUCUGAAGAGCUAUCCUAACGGCACAGAAGUAUAGACACUGGGUCUGGCUGAUAUCACUGUGUGAUGUCUUUAUUUUGAAAUCUCUUUAUAAUGAAACUUUAAUUACUCCAAAACAUACAAUUCGUAGUCCUGAAAGUUGGCCAGCUCCCAGGAUGGUCGACCACUGUGCGGAUGCCCAUCAUCUGUCCUGUGAUGUCCUUUUCAUCUGCAAGGUGCCUAUGCUAUCUGCUUCAUUUGUGCCUCGUUUCCAGUCUUGGAUAUGGACGAUACACUGGGCCCUUCAGAGACUUACAAUUUGCAUUGUUGCCCCAUUGACUUGAUGAUGAAACACC
rnacentral:lncRNA from 1 species